GACGAACGCUGGCGGCGUGCCUAAUACAUGCAAGUAGAACGCUGAAGAGAGGAGCUUGCUCUUCUUGGAUGAGUUGCGAACGGGUGAGUAACGCGUAGGUAACCUGCCUGGUAGCGGGGGAUAACUAUUGGAAACGAUAGCUAAUACCGCAUAAAAUUGAUUAUUGCAUGAUAAUUAAUUGAAAGAUGCAACUGCAUCACUACCAGAUGGACCUGCGUUGUAUUAGCUAGUUGGUGAGGUAACGGCUCACCAAGGCGACGAUACAUAGCCGACCUGAGAGGGUGAUCGGCCACACUGGGACUGAGACACGGCCCAGACGCCUACGGGAGGCAGCCGUAGGGAAUCUGCGGCAAUGGGGGGAACCCUGACCGAGCAACGCCGCGUGAGUGAAGAAGGUUUUCGGAUCGUAAAGCUCUGUUGUAAGAGAAGAACGGGUGUGAGAGUGGAAAGUUCACACUGUGACGGUAUCUUACCAGAAAGGGACGGCUAACUACGUG
rnacentral:rRNA from 1 species